rnacentral:rRNA from 1 species
UACGGGGGGGGCAAGCGUUGUUCGGAAUUACUGGGCGUAAAGGGCUCGUAGGCGGCCAACUAAGUCAGACGUGAAAUCCCUCGGCUUAACCGGGGAACUGCAUCUGAUACUGGAUGGCUUGAGUUCGGGAGAGGGAUGCGGAAUUCCAGGUGUAGCGGUGAAAUGCGUAGAUAUCUGGAGGAACACCGGUGGCGAAGGCGGCAUCCUGGACCGACACUGACGCUGAGGAGCGAAAGCCAGGGGA